UUUUGUUUUCUUACUGAGAGAUAACCAUCUAUACCAAUAAUUGAGAUGAGCUUUUUUCGUUUUGCAGGACAAACCAUGUGACAUUUGUGGUCAUUUUGGUUUUCAGGAACUGCUUGUAACUUGCUCCAAAUGUUGUUGCGCUCGUGAGCAUGUUUAUUGCAUGAGGGUUUGUACUGAGGAGGUGCCACAAAGUUGGGUUUGUGAAGCAUGCCUAUUGAGCAAUGACAUGCUUUCACCAAAAUCCGGAACUAUCAAUAAGGCUUGCAAUGAUUCACAGUUCCAGGUUCACUCGAAGAAGCUAAAGUCUGUUGAAUCCGGCAAGGUCAAGUUCCUUCCCGCAGAAGAAGCUAUUAGGCUAUCAUUAGGAUCCCAGAAAAUGGGAUCUUCUCAACGAAUUAACUUCGGAUUAAAAUGGGGUUCAUCAAAUACCGUUCUACCUAGGAGCAGAAGAACUCCCAUUCCGUCCAAAAUUAGUGGUGCACAAAUUAAUUCCAUGAUGAAUGAUCAGGCAGCAAAUAUGUCAAAACAAUCAAAAGGUGA